rnacentral:rRNA from 1 species
GGCAGCAGUAGGGAUUCUUCCGCAAUGGGCGAAAGCCUGACGGAGCAACGCCGCGUGAGUGAUGAAGGUCUUCGGAUCGUAAAAUUCUGUUAUUAGGGAAGAACAAGUGCGUAGGUAACUAUGCGCACCUUGACGGUACCUAAUCAGAAAGCCACGGCUAACUACGUGCCAGCAGCCGCGGUAAUACGUAGGUGGCAAGCGUUAUCCGGAAUUAUUGGGCGUAAAGCGCGCGUAGGCGGUUUUUUAAGUCUGAUGUGAAAGCCCACGGCUCAACCGUGGAGGGUCAUUGGAAACUGGAAAACUUGAGUGCAGAAGAGGAAAGUGGAAUUCCAUGUGUAGCGGUGAAAUGCGCAGAGAUAUGGAGGAACACCAGUGGCGAAGGCGACUUUCUGGUCUGCAACUGACGCUGAUGUGCGAAAGCGUGGGGAUCAAACAGGAUUAGAUACCCUGGUAGUCCACGCCGUAAACGAUGAGUGCUAAGUGUUAGGGGGUUUCCGCCCCUUAGUGCUGCAGCUAACGCAUUAAGCACUCCGCCUGGGGAGUACGGCCGCAAGGCUGAAACUCAAAGGAAUUGACGGGGACCCGCACAAGCGGUGGAGCAUGUGGUUUAAUUCGAAGCAACGCGAAGAACCUUACCAAAUCUUGACAUCCUUUGACCGCUCUAGAGAUAGAGUCUUCCCCUUCGGGGGACAAAGUGACAGGUGGUGCAUGGUUGUCGUCAGCUCGUGUCGUGAGAUGUUGGGUUAAGUCCCGCAACGAGCGCAACCCUUAAGCUUAGUUGCCAGCAUUAAGUUGGGCACUCUAAGUUGACUGCCGGUGACAAACCGGAGGAAGGUGGGGAUGACGUCAAAUCAUCAUGCCCCUUAUGAUUUGGGCUACACACGUGCUACAAUGGACAGUACAAAGGGCAGCGAAACCGCGAGGUCAAGCAAAUCCCAUAAAGCUGUUCUCAGUUCGGAUUGUAGUCUGCAACUCGACUACAUGAAGCUGGAAUCGCUAGUAAUCGUAGAUCAGCAUGCUACGGUGAAUACGUUCCCGGGUCUUGUACACACCGCCCGUCACACCACGAGAGUUCGUAACACCCGAAGCCGGUGGAGUAACCUUUUAGGAGCUAGCCGUCGAAGG